GCCUCUGUAGCUGGGUUCGUUAGAGCGCUGCACCGGAACCGCAGAGCCGUAGGUUCAAUUCCUACCAGAGGAC